UACGGAGGGUGCAAGCGUUAAUCGGAAUUACUGGGCGUAAAGCGCGCGUAGGCGGUUUUUAAGUCGGAUGUGAAAGCCCCGGGCUCAACCUGGGAACUGCAUCCGAUACUGGAAGACUAGAAUGCGGGAGAGGGAGGUAGAAUUCCAUGUGUAGCAGUGAAAUGCGUAGAUAUAUGGAGGAAUACCAGUGGCGAAGGCGGCCUCCUGGCUCGACAUUGACGCUGAGGUGCGAAAGCGUGGGGAGCAAACGGC
rnacentral:rRNA from 1 species